AAUUUUCUCGAUCACAACCAAAGAACACACAGCCUCGCAGUAACCGAAUUUCGCCAUUUAGGAACACCGAGUCCAAUAUUGCCUCGAACACCGUUCUUGAGGCCCAAUAUAAAGCAUCAUGCUCAUCAUCACACUACAUGGAUCCGGAUUCGCUGCAUGAAAUUUCUGCAUAGUUCGAAGAUAUUUUUGGUGACGACCUCGAGCCUCAACAUUCGACACGAUCCAGAUCAUCCUCAUACCACCCGGAGUUCCAUCUCGAAGCACGUACACCCACCACUGAAGAUAUUUUUCCAUCGGCGCCUCCAGUCACGCAAUACCAAUUAACUCCCGAUUAUAGUGUAUUCGAUUAUUCUACCUUUCUAAGUACAUCGGACGAGACACCGGACGCCGAACCGAGCAAUUAUCAAAUGCCUUAGCAAGGUGCACGGCAU
rnacentral:lncRNA from 1 species